UUCUUUUCUUCUUUAUUUGGAAUAUUAUACUCACACUCUCUUUUUAACAACAUACUGACAGGUUGAUAUUGAUUUUUUGAUGACUAUGCUGUGUCAAUCUGCAGAACCGUUUAACUGUUCCUUUUAGGCUAAAUAUAGGUGAAUGUGGUGACAGAGGAAGUAGAAAUGCCUUACGAGGAGUUGGAAAAUCUCCAGAAUUACGCGAAAUGAAUUUUGUUUGGAGUCUAAAUUCACCAUUGGCGUCGAAUUUGCAACUAGGACACUUCAGGUCACAGGGAAGACAGUCAAGGCACAAAUAUGGGACACAACGAGGCAAGAAAGGUACAGAGCCAUAAACAGUGCUUAUUACAAAGGAUCCGUGGGAGCACUCUUGGUCUAUGACAUAACCAAGAUACAAACUUUUGCAAACGGCACUGAUAAAUGGUGUUCAUGAAAAAACAAAGAAUCGAAUCAAACUGAUAAUUGAACCGAACUGGAGAAAAAACACUACAUUUUCUUGGUUUUGGUUUUAGAUUUUAAAGACCGAUAAUAUUUAGUUUGGUUUUGAUUUUAAACAAAUUAUUAAAAAAAAAAAAAUUGUUGAAAUCUGAACUUGAUGUGUGUCAAAAAUAAUUUAUUUGCAAUAUCCAAAACUUAAGACAAAAAGGUUUAUGGUUUUCAUAAUGGUGUUCAAAUUCUUCUUAGCAACAACUUUAGAGAUUGCUCUUUUUUCGGUGUCUCUGCUAAAUGAUUAUUACGUCCUAAAAAGGGAGAUCUUUGUGCAAUUAUCACAUUAAUUGCUUGAAUGUUGUUGGUAUUGUUCAUUGUCAAGUUCCUAAAAAAUAAGGAAAAUGACUUCUUUAGUGGAAGUAGGGGAAACAUGUUGCACAAGUGGCAUUCUACAUUGAUUGUGUUCUCCUCACCCUCCAACACAGUUCAUCUUCUCCCUCGCUCCCGUAUCUGUCAUCCCCACCACCCCACACCCCUACCUCUCUCCCACCUCCCAUGGUAUUUGUCCAAACGGAAAAGGGCCAAAUAUACCCCUGUACUAUGAGAAAAGGGCUAAAUAUACCCCUUGUUAUACUUUGGAGCCAAAUAUACCCCUCAUCGGUUAAAGUUGUCCAAGGUGGACAUCCGAUCCUACAUGGAUGCCACACAUUUGAUGAGGUGGAUGCCACGUGGGCAUGCAACCUCAACACGCCUAACCCAUUUUACCCCUUCCCUCUUUUUAUUCUUCCACUACUAAAAUUUCCUUCCCCUCCACCACCAUUGCCGCCAUUACCACCACCACCACGACCAACUCUAUAUCUAAUGGGGGUUUGCACAUGAUCGGGGUCUAUUUGGCCAUUUUUGUUUUCUCUUGUUCUAAAAAACACAUAUUUCCUAUAUAAUCAUUCCAUAUCUCUCUUCCGGUCUGUGUAAUUAUCAACUACGUGUAUAUUCUAAUACUAAAAUCUGGACUACAUUUCUACAUCAAUGUGUAUAUUAAAUUAUGAUUUCAUAUUUGUCAAAUGAAUUUGAACCAAUAUAGCUGAAUGGGGCAUUAUCAAAUUAUUAGUGAACUUAUUUCACAUCCCUAACACAAUCUGCGUCAUUAACGACAUUGUUCUAUUCCACGAAAAGAAUGCAGUAUAAAUUUACUAGUAAGGAUUUUUUUUUUUUUUGCACCUAUGAAUUUACUAUUUCUCAUCCCAAUUUUCAUUUACAUUAGAUCCCACCUUGAGAAUUGAUUUCAAUGGCUUCAACUCUUCUUCUACUUGCUCUUUGAUGGAAGGCACUUUCUCUGUUGAUUUCUUUUUCUUCUUCUUACUGAAAUAAAUCUCCUCCACAUUAUCAUUUUAUGCUAACCAUCUUCUUUGGAGCUUUAUUUUGAGUUUCCAUUGACGGUCCAGGGGCUUCUUCCUCAACAAUCUUGUCACCUUCAUUCUCUUCACUAGUUACCUGAGAAAGCUCACUUUCUCCAUUUUUAAGGACUGAAUCAUCUUCAACUACAGCUUCUUUCAACUUGGGAACUACAGUUGGUCGUGAUGGCAGUAAUGGCGGCAAUGGUCAGGGGCGGAUCCACCCUUGGGGGUGGGGUGGCAUGACACCCCCUAAAUUAAUAAUUUUUAUAUACUUACGUCGCCAGCCCCAGUUGCAAAUUAGAUAAAGGUGUCACGGCUAGUAGACACAAGUUUGAAUCUAUCUUAAACAUUUUUCGACUUCCAUUUUUCUUUAUGCUUUUUACUUCCUUUGUACUAGUAAUUCCCUUUUCGGCUCUCCCAAUUUUUAAUUUAUCUUUUUAUUAUUUAUAUUACCUUUCCUCUUUUUUAUAAUUUUAUCUGUGAUCUUUAGUGAGAACACACAAAUAAAAACUUCAAAAUUCCUUAAAAUAAUUAAGCAUUUCUCUUAAUCUCAAAUCUGUGAGUAUUUAAAUUGAAAAACUUGGGUCUCAAUGGAAUUUUGGAUUGCGAUCAGAAUUCAAUUUUUUUUUUAUAAUUUUUUUUGUUUAUUACUACCUCCGUCCAUGUUUACUUGUCUAUAUUUGACUUGGGACACUCUUAAUAAGUAAUAAAUAAAAUGAGAAAUGAAUUGGAGUACUUAAUAAUAAGGGUAAAAUAGGUAUAAAAUGGUAAAUUAUGUCUUGGUUUUUCAAACUAUAUAACU